CGGACGGGUGAGUAACACGUGGAUAACCUACCUAUAAGACUGGGAUAACUUCGGGAAACCGGAGCUAAUACCGGAUAAUAUUUUGAACCGCAUGGUUCAAAAGUGAAAGACGGUCUUGCUGUCACUUAUAGAUGGAUCCGCGCUGCAUUAGCUAGUUGGUAAGGUAACGGCUUACCAAGGCAACGAUGCAUAGCCGACCUGAGAGGGGUGAUCGGCCACACUGGAACUGAGACACGGUCCAG
rnacentral:rRNA from 1 species